UACGUAGGGUGCAAGCGUUAUCCGGAAUUAUUGGGCGUAAAGAGCUCGUAGGCGGCUUGUCGCGUCGUCCGUGAAAACUUGGGGCUCAACCCCAAGCUUGCGGUCGAUACGGGCAGGCUAGAGUUCGGUAGGGGAGACUGGAAUUCCUGGUGUAGCGGUGAAAUGCGCAGAUAUCAGGAGGAACACCGGUGGCGAAGGCGGAUCUCUGGGCCGAUACUGACGCUGAGGAGCGAAAGCGUGGGGAGCGAACAGG
rnacentral:rRNA from 1 species